UUCAAUGAGUUAAGAUCAGAAGCCAUGACAACCACUGCCUGAUAUUGCAUCAGGGCAUAUUAUUAUUAUUAUUAUUCAGUAGUUUUAUUUUUAUAACGUGCUUUCACUUCACUACCGAGCGCAGCUCUGUGCGCCUUGGGUAUGUGCUGUGGUUUGCUGUGGUGCUCUUAUGUUUACUGUAUUGAAAGUGUUUUGCGUAGGAUGUGUGCAGUACCCAGUAGUGCAAUUUUCUGUAUGUUACAUAUAUUUAAGCAAGUCCCAAGUUGAUCUAUACAGAGAUUUGAAACGCAAAAUCUUAAAACACAAAACUUAGUUUUAACGAAUAUCGAUUCCAGGAUUCUUAACACAGCACAGGUAUUUAUUGGGUUUUCUCCAGCUGUCUAUUUUGCAUGUUGGCAAUAGAAGAGAUGAGUCAAAUGGUAAGGAAACAAAGCAACUGGUUUAUAGAGCAGCCAGUACACUUGGAAACGAAAUCAUUCUAAUUGCCAUCAUUAAAGAGAAAAGAAAGAAAGAAAUGAAAGAAAGAGAACACAAAAAGUGAGCAGAGAAGAAAUGAAAUAGAAUCAACAACAACCACCACCACCACCACUUUAAAGUCACAUGAAAUAAAGCCAGAAAGACAAUCAGUAGACAGUUAUCUACCACCAUAACUGUCACCAUCUUUCAGGAUUCUUUCUUCAACUUACAAAUCCUACUUUGCUAUCUUAUUAUAACAACACAUUUACAUUUCAUUACUUAUUUCAGAUAAUUUUCAAAGAUUUUAUGAUUAAAUAUACAAAAGUAAAAAAUAAAAAAAAACAAAAAAAAUGA